rnacentral:rRNA from 1 species
GAUGAACGCUGGCGGCGUGCCUAAUACAUGCCAGUCGAGCGAACAGAUAAGGGGCUUGCUCCUUUGACGUUAGCGGCGGACGGGUGAGUAACACGUGGAUAACCUACCUAUAAGACUGGGAUAACUUCGGGAAACCGGAGCUAAUACCGGAUAACAUAUUGAACCGCAUGGUUCAAUAGUGAAAGGCGGCUUUGCUGUCACUUAUAGAUGGAUCCGCGCCGUAUUAGCUAGUUGGUAAGGUAACGGCUUACCAAGGCAACGAUACGUAGCCGACCUGAGAGGGUGAUCGGCCACACUGGAACUGAGACACGGUCCAGACUCCUACGGGAGGCAGCAGUAGGGAAUCUUCCGCAAUGGGCGAAAGCCUGACGGAGCAACGCCGCGUGAGUGAUGAAGGUCUUCGGAUCGUAAAACUCUGUUAUCAGGGAAGAACAAAUGUGUAAGUAACUGUGCACAUCUUGACGGUACCUGAUCAGAAAGCCACGGCUAACUACGUG